rnacentral:tRNA from 1 species
GCAGCCGUGGCUGGUUAGCGCUUCGGACUUAUAAUCGGAGGGUUGCUGGUUCAAACCCCGACCAGUAGGCUGAA